rnacentral:lncRNA from 1 species
UAUAGUUACAACAAUAAGAGCAUUUGCAACCGUAAAAUAAAAGGGCACAUUAUAUGGUUGCAACCAUAGAACAGUCUGCAAGUAUUCUAUUCCGAUCUGAUGGCUACAAUUAAGAAAUAUUAUUUUCUUAUCCAAUUAAUGAGUGGUCAGAUGACGGCCAAGAUGUGCUAUUUAGCUAACAUGUGAGCAGCCCACCGAGCUGCAUAGUGUUCUGCGUCUAAGCUUCCCCUCUUUUUAUUUUUUAACCUCAUUCUAAUGAUAAAUUUUAAGCAGCAAAAGAAAGAAAUUGAUGAAAGAUGAGAC